UACGAAGGGGGCGAGCGUUGUUCGGAAUUACUGGGCGUAAAGGGCGCGUAGGCGGCGACUCAAGUUAGAUGUGAAAGUCCUGGGCUUAACCUGGGGACUGCAUUUGAUACUGGGUUGCUUGAAUUCGGGAGAGGAUAGCGGAAUUCCCAGUGUAGAGGUGAAAUUCGUAGAUAUUGGGAAGAACACCGGUGGCGAAGGCGGCUAUCUGGACCGACAUUGACGCUGAGGCACGAAAGCGUGGGGAUCAAACAGG
rnacentral:rRNA from 1 species